rnacentral:rRNA from 1 species
CUACACAUGCAGUCGACGAGAUGAGUCACGACGAGGAGCUUGCUCUCGGGUGACGAGUGGCGGACGGGUGAGUAAUGUCUGGGAACUGCCUGAUGGAGGGGGAUAACUACUGGAAACGGUAGCUAAUACCGCAUAACGUCGCAAGACCAAAGAGGGGGACCUUCGGGCCUCUUGCCAUCAGAUGUGCCCAGAUGGGAUUAGCUAGUAGGUGGGGUAACGGCUCACCUAGGCGACGAUCCCUAGCUGGUCUGAGAGGAUGACCAGCCACACUGGAACUGAGACACGGUCCAGACUCCUACGGGAGGCAGCAGUGGGGAAUAUUGCACAAUGGGCGCAAGCCUGAUGCAGCCAUGCCGCGUGUAUGAAGAAGGCCUUCGGGUUGUAAAGUACUUUCAGCGGGGAGGAAGGUGUUGCGGUUAAUAACCGCAGCAAUUGACGUUACCCGCAGAAGAAGCACCGGCUAACUCCGUGCCAGCAGCCGCGGUAAUACGGAGGGUGCAAGCGUUAAUCGGAAUUACUGGGCGUAAAGCGCACGCAGGCGGUCUGUCAAGUCGGAUGU